UGCCCCAGUAACGGCGAAGUGAAGCGGCAAGAAGCUCAAAUUUGAAAUCUGGCCUCCCCCGGGGGCCCGAGUUGUAAUUUGCAGAGGAUGUUUCGGGUGCGGCCGCCGUCUAAGUUCCUUGGAACAGGACGUCAGAGAGGGUGAGAAUCCCGUCUUGGGCGGGCGGUCCGCGCCCGUGUGAAGCUCCUUCGACGAGUCGAGUUGUUUGGGAAUGCAGCUCUAAGCGGGUGGUAAAUUUCAUCUAAAGCUAAAUAUUGGCCGGAGACCGAUAGCGCACAAGUAGAGUGAUCGAAAGGUUAAAAGCACCUUGAAAAGGGAGUUAAACAGCACGUGAAAUUGUUGAAAGGGAAGCGCUUGCGGCCAGACUCGGGGGCGGGGUUCAGCGGGUGCUCGUCGCCCGUGUAUUCCUCGUUUCCCGGGCCAGCAUCAGUUUCGACGGCCGGUCAAAGGCCCCCGGAAUGUGUCGUCUCUCGGGACGUCUUAUAGCCGGGGGUGCAAUGCGGCCCGUCGGGACUGAGGAACGCGCUCCGGCUCGGAUGCUGGCGUAAUGGCCGUAAGCGGCCCGUCUUGAAACACGGACCAAGGAGUCUAACAUCCACGCGAGUGUUCGGGUGUCAAACCCGUGCGCGCAGUGAAAGCGAACGGAGGUGGGAGCCCUAGGGCGCACCAUCGACCGAUCCUGAAGUCUUCGGAUGGAUUUGAGUAGGAGCGUGGCCGUUGGGACCCGAAAGAUGGUGAACUAUGCCUGAAUAGGGUGAAGCCAGAGGAAACUCUGGUGGAGGCUCGCAGCGGUUUCUGACGUGCAAAUCGAUCGUCGAAUUUGGGCAUAGGGGCGAAAGACUAAUCGAACCA
rnacentral:rRNA from 1 species